rnacentral:rRNA from 1 species
GAUGAACGCUAGCUACAGGCUUAACACAUGCAAGUCGAGGGGCAGCACAGUGUAGCAAUACAUGGGUGGCGACCGGCGCACGGGUGCGUAACGCGUAUCCAACCUUCCCGAUACUCAGGGAUAGCCUUCCGAAAGGGAGAUUAAUACCUGAUGGUGUUUUAAUUCCGCAUGUUAAUGAAACUAAAGAUUUAUCGGUAUCGGAUGGGGAUGCGUGACAUUAGAUAGUAGGCGGGGUAACGGCCCACCUAGUCUACGAUGUCUAGGGGUUCUGAGAGGAAGGUCCCCCACACUGGAACUGAGACACGGCCCAGACUCCUACGGGAGGCAGCAGUGGGGAAUAUUGGGCAAUGGGGGAAACCCUGACCCAGCAACGCCGCGUGAAGGAGAAGGCCUUCGGGUUGUAAACUUCUUUUAGCAGGGACGAAGGACGUGACGGUACCUGCAGAAAAAGCAACGGCUAACUACGUG